UUUAGCAAUUCUCAGCUGCAAAUAGUAAGGGUUUCUGAGAUGGUAAAGUCCUGACUCCCAUGGCAUAGGGAAGAGAAAACUCACUGCACAAAUGCUAAGGAGGUGCACAGAAGUUUCAUCUCCAGCCUUGGGGUGUAGUGUUGCUGUGUUCAGCCCCUUGUUGAGAUCAUCUUGCUGUCACUACCUGCGUUGCUGGAGCCACCAAAUGGAGAGCCAGCUCAGCUCUGCUGCAGCCCUCUUCUGCCCUCCAUGAACUUGAGGAGCAGGGGAACGGGGAUAACUUCAACCAACACUGAGGCAGGGCUGCUGGCUUUCAAGCAGAAGAAACCUGGCUCACAAACCUUGAGAAAUACAUCUGAAGGAUUAUUAUUUUUUUUUUUUUUUUUUAAUACUUACAGGACUAGUCAGGAUAUUCUGAGGUUAAAUUCUGUGCAUUUAUAGGAACUCUGGUAAAGCAAUUAAGGUCCCAGAUUUGACUUGCAUUAGCAUAUUUAUAACUUGGUGGGGAAUGUUUUCCAUAUUCCUUGUAUCUAUUUUUGUAAUGAUACUAAUCCUUUACAUUUCUGUAUCACCUUUCAUUUAGGAGGACUAGACCCCAAGUUGCUUUACAUAUGAAGGACAAAAAUACAGGCAGACAUGAUGGUGACA